GGAUUGAAUUUCCAUGCAGGAGUAUUGGCUUUGGCAAGCAAGUAAAGGACAAAAUAAGAGGAUAUUCAAAGUUCCCAGAGUUUGAUGGUAGUAAGUUAGAUGUAACAAAUAGGAAUUCAUGGCCUACUGUAUGCAUGUAUGUGCUAAAAGAAGAAAAAACCCGGGGAAUCACUUAAUAAGAAAUUCUAACUAUCUAUUGUUCUCAAAGUACCACAGAAGAAAUAGAAUGAAAUGGUUAACUAAGAAUUAUAGAAUGAAAAAGCUGAGUAAUAAACAAGGAUUGGUUUGCUAUUUAUGAUGACGAAGAGCUGGUACAAGCCUCCUUCAGGAAAUGACCCUGCGAUGAAUGCAAUCUACAUUCUUCCAAGAUGGUAUAUGACAGAAAGAAAGUGGUGCGAUGAAUUAGUAUCAUUUACUAGUCAUUCUAAAACCGUUCCAAUUCAUUUCACAUUUCAUUACCUAGAGCCUGAGAGGGGUCACUGCUGAGAGGGUUCAUACUAUACCUAUUACUAUGGAUGCUUCAUCUAGCGCAUACCAAAUCAAGCCAGCCGGGUAUCAUAGGAGACAGGGGAAAAAGCACUUUCAAAUGAUGAACUUGCU
rnacentral:lncRNA from 1 species